GCGACAUUGGGACUGAGACACGGCCCAAACUCCUACGGGAGGCAGCAGUGGGGAAUCUUGCACAAUGGAGGAAACUCUGAUGCAGCGAUGCCGCGUGAGUGAAGAAGGCCUUUGGGUUGUAAAGCUCUUUCGUCGGGGAAGAAAAUGACUGUACCCGAAUAAGAAGGUCCGGCUAACUUCGUGCCAGCCGCCGCGGUAAUACA
rnacentral:rRNA from 1 species